AUGAAAAGGACAUGGAGACAACGGGAGGCUCUGAACGGAGUAGCCCUCCACCAGCUCACAUCCCUCCUUCAGGGCCUGCGGCUCGGACACCCCAGGACUGGCCAGACUGGCCUGUGUGCGCCUCCCAUGAACAGAGAAGUCCCGGAGGUGUUCCUCGCAGGUGGAGACCUGCUGCCCCGAGGCCACACUCGCCGCUGCCUCUCUGCGGUGGAGUCCAGAGCGCAGCUGGAGGAAGAGGAGGACGAGGAGGAGAAUGAGAAGGAGAGGGAAAAAAAGGAGGGCGAAGCCUUCCAUGCUGUACCCCUCCGAAGGUCGGGCGCUUUUCGUGCCCACAGCCACAACUACGACCCCUUCAAAAGGCAUAGCUGGGGGCCGGGCAGGGAGCUCCAGGAUCCACUGAACAGGUAAAACACCAGAGACUUUCUGUCUCUCCCCUCAAGUCCUAGACCCAGGAGAGAGUGGUUGGGAAGGAAUGACAGGAGGUGAAGAGGCCUGGGCCCCUAGCCUCCUGCCUGGAGAGUCUGAACCCAGGCCUGUGGUGGGCCUUUGGGGAGAAUGGACCCUGCCUUUCAACACGUAGCUCUCCCUAGUGUCCAAGCUCCUUCCUUCUACUAGUCUCCAGGGGAGUGGGUGAGACUGGAGAAGGGGAGGUUUGGAGGGGAGGUGAGUAGCUGGACGCUCGGGUCUUACUGCCUCCUCCCACUUGCGUUUCAUAGCACAUACAGCAGAGUCAGAGCUGGAAGGGACUCAGGGAUCAUAUGGCCCAAUUGCCUCAUUUUACACAUGAGGAAACAGGCCCAGACAGCUUCAGAAGUUUUCUUGAGACGUGCUCCCAGAGUUGGGGCAUGGGACCUAGCCCCCUUUCCCAAAUUGCUGCCCGCCUGAUGGUGCAGGCUGAGGCAGGCCCAUGAUGUUUAGACAUCGUAGUCCAGCCCUACGAUGGAGGAAGAGCUCCUCUCGCUCAGGGUUCUAUAUAUGCAUGACAAACCGGAAGUGAGGGACCCAGCUCUUCCCCUCUCCUGGAAAAACCCUGACCACUUCCCCAAAGACAGAGAGGAAGCCAGAAAGAGAAGGCCCGGGGGUCAGCAUGAAAGGUUCAGUGUGAGUGGUGCCUGUGAGGGCCUGCCAGCCUUGGAAGGGCCUGUCUCUCUGCUUCAGCAAUGGUCUCCUUGGACAAAUUCUCUUAGCCUGGUGAGUAGACCAAACUUCUCGAGCUCCUGGGCAGGGCUGGCUGGGCGUGUGACGGGAGAGGACCCUUGCCUCUGAACUGGCUUGGGAGGGAACUUGGGUGAGAAGCCUGGUCUUCAGGACUCAUGGCACCUUCCUAAGAGCAGCUCGUCCAAGGCAGAGGUGCCUUUUGUGAUGCCAGCUAUAUCUCAGGAUCUUCCAGGUUCACCUUUCACGAUCAGACACUAAUUUUGUCCCUUGGGUUGAGAAGGAAGGGUGCUCUGGGCACACCGUUUAUCUGAGUAGGGGCUAAGGUUGGCGUCAGAACCCCCAUCCCCUUCCCCUCCAU
rnacentral:lncRNA from 1 species